CUAACGCGUUAAGCACUCCGCCUGGGGACUACGGUCGCAAGACUAAAACUCAAAGGAAUUGACGGGGACCCGCACAAGCGGUGGAGCAUGUGGUUUAAUUCGAUGCAACGCGAAGAACCUUACCACUUCUUGACAUGGAGAUUAGAUCCUUCUUAACAGAAGGGCGCAGUUCGGCUGGAUCUCGCACAGGUGCUGCAUGGCUGUCGUCAGCUCGUGUCGUGAGAUGUUGGGUUAAGUCCCGCAACGAGCGUAACCCUCAUCCUUAGUUGCCAGCGGGUUAAGCCGGGCACUUUAAGGAGACUGCCAGUGGUAAACUGGAGGAAGGUGGGGAUGAUGUCAAGUCAGCACGGCCCUUAUGGGGUGGGCUACACACGUGCUACAAUGGUGACUACAAUAG
rnacentral:rRNA from 1 species